CUCCAAUAGCGUAUAUUUAAGUUGUUGCAGUUAAAAAGCUCGUAGUCGGAUUUUGGCUGAGAACGGUCGGUCCGCCGUUAGGUGUGCACUGACUGGUCUCAGCUUCCUGGUGAGGAGGUGUGCUUCAUCGCCACUUAGUCACCGUGGUUACUUUGAAAAAAUUAGAGUGUUCAAAGCGGGCUUACGCUUGAAUAUAUUAGCAUGGAAUAACACCAUAGGACUCCUGUCCUAUUUCGUUGGUCUCGGGACGGGAGUAAUGAUUAAGAGGAACAGUUGGGGGCAUUCGUAUUUCAUUGUCAGAGGUGAAAUUCUUGGAUUUAUGAAAGACGAACUUCUGCGAAAGCAUUUGCCAAGGAUGUUUUCAUUGAUCAAGAACGAAAGUUGGGGGCUCGAAGAUGAUUAGAUACCAUCCUAGUCUCAACCAUAAACGAUGCCGACUAGGGAUUGGCGGAUGUUAAUUGAUGACUUCGCCAGCACCUUAUGAGAAAUCAAAGUUUUUGGGUUCCGGGGGGAGUAUGGUCGCAAGGCUGAAA
rnacentral:rRNA from 1 species